rnacentral:sRNA from 2 species
UUGCAUUUGAAGCCCAUGAGGAUGAGAACCUCCGGGGGCGGGGAGGUUCGACUCGAGCGAAGCGAGAGAACGUUGCGCCAGCAA